rnacentral:misc_RNA from 1 species
AAAUGACCAUUCCUCCAUGAACCGCAAAGACCUCUUAAUUAUAGCUAAGAAAGUUUACAUGAACAUAUCUCCUUGUGUUGUGGGAAAAACUUACCUAGAUAGUCUAUUAUGGACCCAAUACAAAAACAUUGGAGUUCCACCCAUUUUACAUGUAGAUCUCAUUUGGGUAUAUGAUAGACUAAAUCUAAUUAAGAAUUUCCCCUGGUAUACCGAAAAGCUAAGGAGCUUAUUCCAAACAUCAAGCCAUCGAUGCUCAGAGAUCAGUGUGUUUUUGGGUUUGGGGCAAGGAUAGGUGCAUUUGCUGUUCCGUAAGAUUAUCUCAAAUGGCAAAAGAAAAAGGGCAAUCUAUAUCUUAAUGACAAGUAGCUAGA